CCAGCCGCAAAAGGUGAAACGUAUGGUGUUAUUUUCAAGCGAGGAGUUUUCCUAUCAGCAUGGCAGAUGACCUUCACCAGCCUUCUCUUCCUCACCUCAUCCCGGCUUACAAGGAAAGUUUUUCCACUAUGUGGGUCACUACACGUAUUGUGUUGUUGAGCACCAGGUGCGACAACAGUGCUGUCCCAAGUCUCGAGGCACACCACAAACCUCCCCUCCAGCCGAGCUGAGAUAGGAAUUACGUGCGCACACGGAGCACACAAAAGUUACCUGACACAGUACACUUCCCCCAAACACAACACAGAAUGGAGCUGUAACGCGCUUUUUCAACCCGAGAAGAACGAGGUUUGUUUUCUUUCCCACAGGCUGCCAAGUGGUAAAAGACCCACAUAACGCUAAAGCCGCCUUCAAGAAAACUAAGCGUCAAACGUUAAAAUGUCCUUCAGAGGCUGGAAGGGAUGAGCUGAAUCACCCCACGAGCCAGGCUGGCUCACCAUGACCACCACUGCCACUGCAGCUCCUAAGCAGGGUUCUCCUGGUCCAGAGUAACCUCCUGAACCACAGGCUGGCCCACACACUCCACAGAAAGACUUGAGGUGCAUUUGGAUUUCAGAUAAUCCAACCCCAAUGUUGAACCUCUUUCUAAUCCAUAAUGGAAGCGGUUUUCUUCAACUCUGAUACCUGAGGUGUGACAACUCUUUCAAAAUUUGCUGGCCUUACCCAUUUGAAAGUUUGCCUUUUGCUGCUUCCAGAUAUAUUUGGAGCAGCAGCUUCCUACCUGACUGCUGGUUAGCUGUGAAGAACACAAACACGGCUGGGUUUUCCCAUGAGAAAGCCAUGUGGACGGCCUGCCUGGAGACCUCUGAAAGAAGCUUGCUGCAGGUGGAGGAACUGUUUCCAAAGCUUUAGAGGAAAAGAGUGAAAGUUCCCAGAAGAUUCAGGAGCAUGCCAAUCCCUUCCUGGCUUCCUUCCUUGUCAGACUUUCCCCUACAAGGUGUUUAGUGCAAACCACACGAACUCUGCACCAGUCCCUUGAUUUAUCCUUUUCUCUCGUGUGCUCAGUGCAGGGCAUGGCAUCACAGAAUGGUUUGGGUUGGAAAGGACUCUAAAGACCAUCUAGUUCCAAAUCCCCUGCCACAGGCAGGGACACCUUCCGUUAGACCAGGUCGCACGAAGCAUUGUCCAACCUGGCCUUGGCCACUGCCAGGGAUGGGUUUAUACCAGAAAUUAGUAGGACAGACAGAUAUUUUGCAUAUACACCAUCCAGAAAAUGGAGCCCAUGCUGUGGUGGGAGUGUUGGAGUCGUGCAAACAAUGAAGCAUGUAACUAUUGCAAGUCUGCCCUUUUUCUUCUCCUUUAUUUCAUAAUUAAAGCUGUUCUGAUUCUCUUCUGUCCUGA